ACGAACGCUGGCGGCGUGCUUAACACAUGCAAGUCGAACGGAAAGGCCCUGCUUUUGUGGGGUGCUCGAGUGGCGAACGGGUGAGUAACACGUGAGUAACCUGCCCUUGACUUUGGGAUAACUUCAGGAAACUGGGGCUAAUACCGGAUAGGAGCUCCUGCUGCAUGGUGGGGGUUGGAAAGUUUCGGCGGUUGGGGAUGGACUCGCGGCUUAUCAGCUUGUUGGUGGGGUAGUGGCUUACCAAGGCUUUGACGGGUAGCGGGCCUGAGAGGGGGGCCGGCCACAUUGGGACUGAGCUGCGGCCCAGACUCCUACGGGAGGCAGCAGUGGGGAAUAUUGCACAAUGGGCGGAAGCCUAAUGCAGCAACGCCGCGUGCGGGAUGACGGCCUUCGGGUUGUAAUCCGCUUUCGCCUGUGACGAAGCGUGAGUGACGGUAAUGGGUAAAGAAGCACCGGCUAACUACGUG
rnacentral:rRNA from 1 species